ensembl:lncRNA
CUGCCGGGAGUCGCCGCGGCUCCGGCGCCGCUGCCAUGCACCCCUCUGCGGCCGGCCGGCGGAGGAGGCGGAGGAGGAAGAGAUGCUAAUGAGGGAGGCGGUGUCAGGGCUCCGCCGGGGUUGGGGGGUGCUCGCAAGCGCGGUCUGGCCCCGGCAGCUCCGAGCCCCGGUAGCGAUCCCUGCCCGCUCCCUCUGCGUCGCUCGGGCCGGAGCGGGCUCAGUCCCCUCCCGUUUUAAUAUCUGUGUCUGGCUGAAAUCCCUCAGGAUUCCAACACGGUUUUUUUCUAAACAUCAGCAUUUCUUAAACAAAAAACCCCACUUCAAUGGCACAGAUUUAAAUCUGCAUUUAUAUCAUAAGAACUAUAUGAGGGUGGAUGGAGUUUUCAGGCCAUUCGUUACCCAGGUUUGUGAUGCACCCAGCACGAGGUCAUCUCAGUCUCCUGCUGGACUCCCUUGGCACUACAGAAACAUUGGUGGCAACCCAACAAGGAUACAGCCUCAGUUCAAGGCCAUGUUACUGCUGAGCAGACAUCAGCACAGACCAUCUGGAACAACACUGGCCACUUUUGCCUCCCUGCUGCAUCAUGUUCUUCUCACAGAACAGUGUUUGAGGCAUUAACACCCAUGAAUUAUAAAACAAUACAAAAAAAAUAAUGUUCUGCAGGCUUAGCUUUGCUGCAGUGUCCCCAAUACAGAAAAGCCUCCAUUCAAGGUCUUGUAAUAAUGAGCCAGGCAGAAGGAUGGGUCACAGCUGCCAUGUUAAUGCAAAGCAAAGUGUCAUUUUCUCUUCACUAGCAGCAUUCCUAUCCUCAUUCGCAUUGCUUUUCAAUAACACUCCAUGAAAGGAUGUUGAUGUCUUGUUUAAGCAAUGAUGAAAAGUUCGGAGGUUAAUUAACAAGAAGUAGAUACUGAGGAAAAAGUCCAAGAAAAAAAACAAACAAAAAAUUUUUAAAGCUAUAAAGUAUCAUUAGAUUGCCUUUUCCAGUGGAAAAUAGUACUAAUUUUAACACUGCUUAGACACUACAGACUGUCCUUUGGCCAGGGAGAACCACAAGUCCUCUGACCUGUAUUUUAUAAUGCUUUAAUACAUGUUUGUGCUUUCUGUCAGUCAGGAAAACACCAAAUUAUGUGGCCUACAGCAAAAGCCAGCAGUCUGUUAUAUUCACACAUACUCUGUACCCUACAGAGGCAGAUACCUACUUUAGCAAUGUCAGAACAGCUUGUCAAUUAAAUCUGGCCAUAUAUCUUCUUUCGGCUUGUGACAUGUUGAUUGACAACCUAUCGGGAGGCCUGGCCCAGACAUCUGGGGGAUUUUGCCAGCAAGGUCAGGAGAGCUUCUUCUGCAAUGCAAUUUCCAUCAUGGAGCCCUGGGGCACAUGUUAACAGAUCUCACCGGCAUUCUGUGCUGUGGGACUCUCCUGCAAACAGCACAUCUCUGGCUUUGGCUUCUUGCUCUGCUCUUCCUGCUUUACCUCCAAAAUCUUCCUCUGCUAUUUUGGAGCUAGUGUUGCAAAAUCAGGGCUUUUUCUUGCUAUAAACAAUUAAUGUAUUGGAAAUACAGUGUCCAUGAAGUUAAUGUGGCCUUUAGCAGAGCUAAGCACAGCCUAAGGACAGCUGCCAGUGCUGCCCAGCUUCCCUGCUAAUGCCCUAAUGGGAAAACCCUGCGUUUCUCAGACAAAGAUAUUUCAAUGCAUCAAAUCCAGACAAAUCAUAACCUGCCUUCUCAGCAAAGCUACAACCAAAGGAAUGUUUCACACCCUUGAUCAGUCCUCCCUGCUUGAAGCCUGAAGGAAGAACAUCAAUUAAAUCCUUACUAUGAAAACUGUUCUUGGUGGCAAAACUCAUUUUGCCUUUGCAGCUAUUCUCACAUAUGGCAGUUUCCACUAAUCUUGAAAGUUAAGUGGAUUCUCUUGGAAGAGGAAGGAUUCACUACUGGACAUUUGAGACCAAGUCCCAGGAGGAACAUCAUUCUCUUAACUUUGCUCUCCCCUGGACUAAUGAAUGUGAGGAACGAAGGCUCCACUUGGACUGGAAGGAUUAUUCUUCUGUAUGUCAAAGUCAUGUGAAAUAAGCAACGUAAUUUGUGGAGCAAUCAUGGGAAUUUAAUUAUUUCUCAGGAUACAAUUUUAAUGACUCCUCUCCAUAGAUCUUAAGCAGCUACUGGUGUCGUGUUGCAUUAGAAGCUCAAGUUGCAGCAGGCAGAAUGGCAGCAUGACAAGAAAAAAAAAUAAACCUCUGAAUGGUUUUCCCA